rnacentral:rRNA from 1 species
GACGAACGCUGGCGGCGUGCUUAACACAUGCAAGUCGAACGGUAAGGCCCUUCGGGGUACACGAGUGGCGAACGGGUGAGUAACACGUGGGUGAUCUGCCCUGCACUUCGGGAUAAGCCUGGGAAACUGGGUCUAAUACCGGAUAGGACCACUGCCUGCAUGGGUGGUGGUGGAAAGCUUUUGCGGUGUGGGAUGGGCCCGCGGCCUAUCAGCUUGUUGGUGGGGUGAUGGACUACCAAGGCGACGACGGGUAGCCGGCCUGAGAGGGUGACCGGCCACACUGGGACUGAGAUACGGCCCAGACUCCUACGGGAGGCAGCAGUGGGGAAUAUUGCACAAUGGGCGCAAGCCUGAUGCAGCGACGCCGCGUGAGGGAUGACGGCCUUCGGGUUGUAAACCUCUUUCAGCACCGACGAAGCACAAGUGACGGUAGGUGCAGAAGAAGGACCGGCCAACUACGUGCCAGCCGCCGCUGUAA